CCUACGGGGCGCAGCAGUGAGGAAUAUUGGUCAAUGGACGAGAGUCUGAACCAGCCAAGUAGCGUGAAGGAUGACUGCCCUAUGGGUUGUAAACUUCUUUUAUAAAGGAAUAAAACGAGGCACGUGUGCCUUUUUGCAUGUACUUUAUGAAUAAGGAUCGGCUAACACCGUGCCAGCAGCCGCGGUAAUACGGAGGAUCCGAGCGUUAUCCGGAUUUAUUGGGUUUAAAGGGAGAGUAGAUGGGUUGUUAAGUCAGUUGUGAAAGUUUGCGGCUCAACCGUAAAAUUGCAAUUGAUACUGGCAGUCGUGAGUACAGUUGAGGUAGGCGGAAUUCGUGGUGUAGCGGUGAAAUGCUUAGAUAUAACGAAGAACCCCGAUUGCGAAGGCAGCUUACUAAACUGUGACUGACAUUGAUGCUCGAAAGUGUGGGUAUCAAACAGGAUUAGAUACCCCAGUAGUC
rnacentral:rRNA from 1 species